UCCUCCUGGCGGUCGGGCGUGCACAGCUCCCAGGACCUGCGCUGCCUGACUGGCAAAGUUCAAGGGGAACGGUAGCUGAGGUCAGGGGGCCGGGCUGCACGGAGUCACCCCAGAGACACGAGGAGGCGGUGCCCAGCCCCUCUGGUACUCGAUGUGGUCCCUGGACAGGGGCUUGUCCUCUCUGGCACUUCGUUUCCGUUCCUGAACGGACAUGGAGGCGUCGUCGGGAGAUCCAGGUUUCCGGCUGCUGUUGCGCCCCCGUCCUGAGAACUGCUUCAGUGUUCACGUCUGCACGGUGGAGCUGGCGACUGCGCCCCCGUCCUGAGAACUCCUUCAGUGUUCACGUCUGCACGGUGGAGCUGGCGACUGCGCCCCCGUCCUGAGAACUCCUUCAGUGUUCACGUCUGCACGGUGGAGCUGGCGACUGCGCCCCCGUCCUGAGAACUCCUUCAGCGUUCUCGUUGCACGGUGGAGCUGGCGACUAAGGCUUCAUCUUUUCUUUACCCAAGCCUUUAUUUCAUCUUCACAUGUGAACCAAUUCACCAUCCUCAAGUGGGAAAAGUUAUACAGACAACCAGCCUCAAGUCAGGCUGGAUGACCUAUCAACGAAUACUAAACUGCAUACUUUUUUCUUCAGUACUGGCCUUGAACCCAGGGUGCUCUACCACUCAGCUAUAUCCCCAACCUUUUUUAUUUUUUAUUUUUACAGACUGCAUUUCGAAUCAUUGUACACAAUUUUUUUUUUUUAAUUUUGAAAAAGAGUCCCACUAAAUUGCUGAGACUGGCCUCCAAUAUGCGAUCCUCCUCCCUGAGCCUCCAUUGUGAAGUUCCUGGAAUUACAGGCAUUCGAUACCACACCCUGGACUAAACUGCAUUCUUGUAGUUUGCUUUCAGGUCCCCCUACAACCACUUCCAAUAAAUUUACCCCCAAUUAUUUAUUAAAUGUACAAGUGUA